GACUUGUAAUCUGAAUGAUAUUGUGUCGGAUAUUAUUGGCUAGUUUCGAAUGUUUUCAGUAAUCUGACGAGCCUUUGACAUUGAAAACAACUAGAAGGGAAUCCAUAGACAAAAAGAGCACGAUUCUUUAUCGAGUACAGUAACACACUCCGAAUUUGCAUGCUCGAUUGAUCCCUUCUGAAGUCAGGUAAAAUCGCCCGGAGAGCCUGCCUCUGCCUCUGCCUCUGCCUCGGCAGCAGGAGCAGGAGCAGGAAGGAGUUGGUGUGGCUGCGCACCAGGGCACGUGUCCCAGCACCUCUUCUGGUCCAAUUCGCAAGGGUUGCCUGGCAGCACCGCGCAGCAGUAGCAGGUCUCCCAGUGAGUGCCGCUGCCACAAAACUGUCUCACGCAUAGCCUAAUUGUAAUCCUGCUCCUCUCCGUCAUCUCCUUGCGCCCCGGCAGCCACCGGUGACCGCCUGCCGCAUCAUCACCUUCGCCUGCAAGCAUUCAGUUACGUUUGCACAUCACAUCAUGACACACUUAUAAACUUUCAGAAUAUAAGAAUGUAUUGUAGACUUACACUCUGCAGGGGAAAGGAAGAGUGCCAACAACACCGCUAGGAGAAUCACCAUCACCUUGGAAUCCAUUUGGUUGGCUGCACACCCCUCUUUUUCAGUAGUU
rnacentral:lncRNA from 1 species